CACUGGGAAUUGGCUUUAUGUCUGGAAUUGGUUUUGGUGUGGGCUUAAUGGAAAUUGAUUUUGGUACAGGCUUAUUAAAAACUGGAAUAGGAAUAGGUUUAAUAACAGGAACUGGCUUUGGAAUAGGUUUGAUAACAGGAAUUGGUUUUAGAAUAGGUUUAAUAACAGGAAUUGGCUUUAGAAUAGGUUUAACAACAGGAACUGGCUUUGGAAUAGGUUUAAUAACAGGAAUUGGCUUUAGAAUAGGUUUAACAAAUGGAAUUGGUUUAGUAAACAAUCCUUUGAAUUUUGAUUCUUCAUCAUGGCCUUCUGCAUUAUUCCCAUACUUGUUCACUUCAUUGCCUACAUAAGAAAUGC
rnacentral:lncRNA from 1 species